UGGUGACAACCACUCGUGACAACCACUCGUGACAAAACCUCUCGUGUGACGGCUACUAUUUGAAGACCGUUCGUGACAAUCGCUUAUUAGAUACAAAAGUAAAAUUUAACUCAAUACUUUAGCACUAUAAAAAAUAGCGUCAUUAUUAAUUUGCUUCAUUGUUUAACAAUUAUAAGUUUGUUUUCGGCAUUUAUCAGCAGCUUAGAUUUUUCGAAGCAGGAAAGAAAUGUCAUACCAUAAACAUGAAAAGUAUCUGUGUAAUUAAAUCCUUAGAUCAAAUCCUUAUACGCAACUUCGUGUUCAAUUAUAUAUUAUGAGAAACAUGAAAGUAAUAAUAAGUUUAAUUCAACCUCUCAAAGUAUAGACUGGAUUACAGGUGAGUCCACCCACAAGAGAAGCUCCAAACAAGCUGCCAGCUUGGGGACAUGAUGCUAGGGCAGGAUGUACAUAUAAGGUAUUGCAUAUUGCUGCAUUAAUUUAAUGCAGCUAAGGGAAAAGUAGGACAACUUGAGUAACAAAAAGAUAGAUAAUAGUUUUGCAAAUGAAAACUUGUUAUAAAAUACUGGACCAGACUAAUAUAAUGAAUUUUGAAACCAAGUUAGAAUGGUCUAUUUCAUUCACUCCUUAGGGGCUAGAUGGGGGGUAGGGAGAUGUGCUUGGGCUAAAUGGGAGUAGGGAGAUGUACUUGAUGGGUGCAAAUAUUGUUUUAAAUGUUGGAAAGAAUAAAGAAAGCACCCAUUUUUGCUGUUAGAAACUAUAAUUCAGCUUCAAUUCUUCAAUUUUCCUUAAUCCAUUAUACCUCCAUACAGCUGCCUCCAUAAACAACAGAAGUUUUUCCAAAUUAAAGAAAAUUAAAAACAUACAUAUAUACAUAUAUAUUUAUAUAACUAUCUCAAGUAUCUGCUAGUAAAUAUAUAUAUAUAUACAAACUCAUUGAAGAGACUACCAGGUUUUCUUAGCACCUAUAUCUUAUCUUCAUUCAGAAGUCUUCAUGGUGAUUCACAUUCAUUAUGAUAUGGCUCAAAUUGAAUGUAUGCUGGCUCCACUUUUAGGCAGUGCCUAAAUCUAUAUAUUAUAUUUACUUACUUAUAUCUUCAUCUUCUUUGCCAUAGUCAAUAUCUGAAAUAAAUUGUAACAAUUAUAUUUAGAAAAGAGGAAGGGGUUUCUUUUCAAUUUGAUUUAUAGAGUACAGUAGCUUAUUAUUUAUGAUGGCCUUAUUGCAGAGGAGCCAACUGAAACUACAGCCUCACACACUAAUUUUAUUUUAUUUUUACUCAAUUCAGCUAUUUAAUAAUAAACUUUGGCAGCGCUGUAUAAGCAAAAAAAUGAUAGCAAUAAAUACGGCUAGGCUAGCUAUCAAAAGAAGCAGUCCACUUGGCAGUGCAGGGAAGGGCACUUUGUUUCCCUAUACUUAUGUCGGUGAUGUGCAGAGCUCAACACGAAAUUGUUUAAAGAAACCAAACGUCCCAGCAACUGGCGUCGCGUCCCAUAUAAAGACAUACCGAUUUCGAAAGCUACAUAACUCCUUAUUCUCAGAAUAAUUUUUUCUAAGCCCAGAAAAUUAUUGUAGAGAGAUCUUGGCAAAUUUCCACAUGUAUUUGGGUUCGAAAUCGGCAAACAUGGCGCUGCAGAGCUCCAAUUCCCUUCGAAUAAAUACUCACCAUCUUCCAUAUUUUUACUCCAUCGCUUCGACGCCUUGCACGAGAUAUCUUAGGAAGAUGAUCUAACACACUGGCUGCUCUAAAAUUGCAAAACUCGACGGGAAAAAGCUUUUAAAGCGAAAAAUAUAUCUUCCCGGCGGUAAAAGGCGAGGGGCUUGAAUGAUGACGUCAUAAUCCAUUUAGGCCGCCAUAUUUCUGUUUCUAGAAAAGGAAAUAUUCUGAGCUGAUAACGCGAAGUAUCUCACAGUAGCGCCCAGGAUCGAGGAAAUGUGAUAGAAAAAUAAAAACAAAUAAAGAAACAAACAAAA